GGAGCAACCUGGGCUGGUGGAAGGUGUCCCUGCCCGUGGCAGGGAGUGGAACUGGAUGGGCUUUAAGGUCCCUUUCAGCCCAAAUAAUUUUGGGAUUCUCUGACUCUACGGCUGUAGGCUCUGC